rnacentral:rRNA from 1 species
GUGUCAGCAGCCGCGGUAAUACGGAGGGUGCAAGCGUUGUUCGGAAUCACUGGGCGUAAAGGGCGUGUAGGCGGCCCGCUAAGUCUGAUGUGAAAUCCCGGGGCUCACCCCCGGAAGGGCAUUGGAAACUGGCGGACUCGAGUCCCGGAGAGGAGGGUGGAAUUCCUGGUGUAGCGGUGAAAUGCGUAGAUAUCAGGAGGAACACCGGUGGCGAAGGCGGCCCUCUGGACGGUGACUGACGCUGAGACGCGAAAGCGUGGGGAGCAAACAGGAUUAGAUACCCUGGUAGUCCACGCUGUAAACGAUGAGCACUAGGUGUCGUGGGUAUUGACCCCCGCGGUGCCGGAGCUAACGCAUUAAGUGCUCCGCCUGGGGACUACGGCCGCAAGGCUAAA